UACGUAGGGUGCAAGCGUUAAUCGGAAUUACUGGGCGUAAAGCGUGCGCAGGCGGUUAUGUAAGACAGAUGUGAAAUCCCCGGGCUCAACCUGGGACUGCAUUUGUGACUGCAUGAGCUAGAGUACGGGUGAUGACGGGGGAGUGGAAUUCCGCGAUGUAGCAGUGAAAUGCGGUGAGCAUAUGCGGAGGAACACCGAUGGCGAAGG
rnacentral:rRNA from 1 species